GGAAGGGCAGGACCAGUUCAGAUAAUCGUCACUGGUGUUGGCCGUGAGCGAGAAUCGAACUCGGGGCGCCAGGUUCGAAGCACAGCGUGUUCACCGCGACACUACCGCUCCCCACCAUAUCUAAACACACACGCGCUCUCACUCGCCAAUGCAAAACGACAGUUGUCCUUUAUUCUAGGAGCUGUCUAUGCCAGGCUUUGUGCACUUUACCCACAUUCUUUUCAUUGAGUUUGAUUCUUAAUUGUGCUGCCCGGUGUGCCCUGUCUUGAGAUGAUGAUGGAUGACGACACACUCAUCCGGAACUCUCGCCGAGCGGUGAGAGAAUGGCCCGUGGAAGGUGUCACCAGGGAACUGCUUCUGAGAUCCCUUCCAGUCAACUCGUAUCCACACUCGGGGCACUUGCACUUUCCCCACCUGUCCUGCACUUUCCCCACCUGCCCUGCACUUUCCCCAUCUGCCCUGCUGCAGAGAUGUUCAACCCAGAGAUGUGGGUUCUCAAAUGCAGUGAACUUAAGGUCUCAGAGAUCUGGGUUCUCAAGUAAUCUCUGGGCUAUUACUCAAAACCCAGAUCUCUGAGUAAGAACCCGGAGAUCACUUGAGAAUGCAGAUCUCUGGCUUGGGUUAACAUCAGUGGUGAGUGAUAUGUGAACCGGCCCUCGGCUUUCCUUACCACCCGCCUCCGCCCCUUCACUUGGCCCCCUCUUCUUCACCAACCCGCACUACCCAUCGUGCUGAAGCAAUUAGCACCGCGCGCUCAGCCUAUCGCGCGCGUGUUUGCACGUGGGGGGGCGCGUCGCAGCGUCGCCGCUAAUUCCCUGGCCAAUGCUUCGCAAAAAGCGACCACCUCCCAAGCGGAGAGGCCCCGACGGUUUUGAAGAUCUUACACGAAGGUUUCCCCUCUUAAGUUCUUCAGUGGACGGCCUCUUUUUUGUUUCUUCAACGAGCCACCCGGGAUCUAGCGCGUCACGUGUUUAUUCAUUCAUCGCACGUCUCCCAGCAGCCUCGCUCCGCUCCUCCUCCUCACGAUCGCCGCUCGAUUCUUCCUCUCUUGUCCGCUGACUGCACUUGAUUACGGGAUGUGAAGUUUUUUUGUUUUCUUCCGGUCAAUAAAAAUUAUAAUAUACAUUUGAAAGGCGCGUUUCAUCCGAGGAUCCCCAGUGCGCCACAGUGUAUGAAAAAGCAGGGAAAUAAGACAGCAGCGUGAACGAGCGACGCUAAUGGGGAAAAUGCCACCUUAAAGAGGUGAAUCCGGGGCUGUGCCUCACCCCGUCGUCGUCGUGAAAUUGAGACGGCGUCAGCGGCGAUGCAUCGCAUGGUACAGCGGAGCAACGCGCAGGCGCGCAAUGCAGGACACAUUUGCCUCGUCUUGCUGCUGGAGAUGUUACUUUCCCUACAAUUGGGGAGCCGCAGUGGCGAGAUGUUAAUUUCCUCGCCUGGUAUGCAGGAGGUCAUGGGUUCGAUCUCGACA